AACAACCCUCAGACACCCCCCCCAAACUGGCAGGAGAUGGAAGUGGGUGAAGUGGGAGCCUAAAGCUGUCUAGCUCCCAGGAAGAGCAUUAUCUCCAACAUCCAUUUCAUACAUGGCCCUGGGGGAUACUGGACAAGAAAAGCCUCCCAGAAUGCAUGAAGACCUGCGAUCCCCUUCUGGAGAAAGGAAAAUGGAAUCCAUUUACUACCAUCAC
rnacentral:lncRNA from 1 species